rnacentral:tmRNA from 1 species
GGGGCUGAUAUGGUUUCGACAGGAUCAUGUGGACUUAGAUUGCAAGUCGUAGAAAUACGUAAAAUUUAAAAAUAUCUGGAAACAGAAAUUCUUAUGCUUUUGCCUAAUUUAGAAAGGUAAGCGUUCCAUUAAAUUCUUUGUUCACGAGAAUUUUCUGGGAUUUAUAUUUGUGAACUAUAUUAUUUUAUUGUUUAGGUAAAAUAAUGAAUAUUACUAAACUAGCUAUAUAUUUGUUUGUUAAUUAGCUUAUUAUAUAGUGAAACUUUCUAAUUAACUAAACUUGUAGUAGUCUAUUUAUCAGUGGUUUUGGACGGGAGUUCGAUGCUCCCCAGCUCCACCA